rnacentral:rRNA from 1 species
AUACGAACCGGACAAACGUUAUUCGGAAUUAUUGGGCUUAAAGGGUGCGUAGGCGGCGCGGUAAGCGAGGUGUGAAAGCCCACGGCUCAACCGUGGAAUUGCGCUUCAUACUGCCGUGCUAGAGGGAGACAGAGGUAAGCGGAACUGAUGGUGGAGCGGUGAAAUGCGUUGAUAUUAUCAGGAACACCGGUGGCGAAAGCGGCUUACUGGGUCUCUUCUGACGCUGAGGCACGAAAGCUAGGGUAGCGAACGGGAUUAGAAACCCCGGUAGUCC